rnacentral:rRNA from 1 species
GUUAUAUGGUCAAGCGAAUAAGCGCACACGGUGGAUGCCUUGGCGGUCAGAGGCGAUGAAGGACGUGGCAGCCUGCGAAAAGUAUCGGGGAGCUGGCAACAAGCUUUGAUCCGGUAAUGUCCGAAUGGGGAAACCCACCCGCUUGCGGGUAUCCUGCAGUGAAUACAUAGCUGCUGGAAGCGAACCUGGUGAACUGAAAUAUCUAAGUAACCAGAGGAAAAGAAAUCAACCGAGAUUCCGUAAGUAGCGACGAGCGAACGCGGACUAGCCCUUAAGCUGGAUUGGUUCUAGGAAAACGCUCUGGAAAGAGCGGCCAUAGAAGGUGAUAGCCCUGUAUCUGAAAGGGCCAUUCCAGUGAAGACGAGUAGGGCGGGGCACGUGAAACCCUGUCUGAACAUGGGGGGACCAUCCUCCAAGGCUAAAUACUACUGACCGACCGAUAGUGAACCAGUACCGUGAGGGAAAGGCGAAAAGAACCCCGGAGAGGGGAGUGAAAUAGAACCUGAAACCGUGUGCGUACAAGCAGUAGGAGCUCCGCAAGGAGUGACUGCGUACCUUUUGUAUAAUGGGUCAGCGACUUACUGUUCGUGGCAAGCUUAACCGUAUAGGGGAGGCGAAGGGAAACCGAGUCUGAUAAGGGCGCAUAGUCGCGGGCAGUAGACCCGAAACCGGGUGAUCUAGUCAUGCCCAGGGUGAAGGUGCGGUAACACGCACUGGAGGCCCGAACCCACUCCCGUUGCAAAGGUAGGGGAUGAGGUGUGAUUAGGAGUGAAAAGCUAAUCGAACCCGGAGAUAGCUGGUUCUCCUCGAAAGCUAUUUAGGUAGCGCCUCAUAUGUAUCCUCUCGGGGGUAGAGCACUGUUAUGGCUAGGGGGUCAUCGCGACUUACCAAACCAUUGCAAACUCCGAAUACCGAGACGGACUGUAUGGGAGACACACGGCGGGUGCUAACGUCCGUCGUGAAAAGGGAAACAACCCAGACCCACAGCUAAGGUCCCAAAUUUUGUGCUAAGUGGAAAACCAUGUGGAAAGGCACAGACAGCCAGGAGGUUGGCUUAGAAGCAGCCACCCUUUAAAGAAAGCGUAAUAGCUCACUGGUCGAGUCGGUCUGCGGGGAAGAUUUAACGGGGCUAAGCACAGAACCGAAGCUUGGGGUGCAUAACUUUGUUAUGCGCGGUAGAGGAGCGUUCCGUAAGCCGUUGAAGGUGGAUUGAGAAGUCUGCUGGAGGUAUCGGAAGUGCGAAUGCUGACAUGAGUAACGAUAAUGCGGGUGAAAAACCCGCACGCCGAAAGCCCAAGGUUUCCUUGCGCAACGUUAAUCGGCGCAGGGUGAGUCGGCCCCUAAGGCGAGGACGAAAGUCGUAGUCGAUGGGAAGCAGGUUAAUAUUCCUGCACCUCGCGUAAGUGCGAUGGAGGGACGGAGAAGGUUAGGUGUACCAGGCGUUGGUUGUCCUGGGGAAAGGCGGUAGGUUUGGAUCUUUGGCAAAUCCGGGAUCCUCUAAGACCGAGCACCGAGACGAGCCUUUAAGGCGAAGUCACUGAUACCACGCUUCCAGGAAAAGCUCCUAAGCUUCAGCUUACGCAGACCGUACCGUAAACCGACACAGGUGGGUAGGAUGAGAAUUCUCAGGCGCUUGAGAGAACUCGGGUGAAGGAACUAGGCAACAUGGCACCGUAACUUCGGGAGAAGGUGCACCCUUUUUGGUGGCUCGUGCGAGCUAUAGCUGAAGAGGGUCGCAGUAACCAGGCCGCUGCGACUGUUUAUCAAAAACACAGCACUCUGCAAACACGAAAGUGGACGUAUAGGGUGUGACGCCUGCCCGGUGCUGGAAGGUUAAUUGAUGGGGUCAGCCGCAAGGCGAAGCUCUUGAUCGAAGCCCCAGUAAACGGCGGCCGUAACUAUAACGGUCCUAAGGUAGCGAAAUUCCUUGUCGGGUAAGUUCCGACCUGCACGAAUGGCGUAACGACAGCGGCGCUGUCUCCACCCGAGACUCAGUGAAAUUGAAAUCGCUGUGAAGAUGCAGCGUUCCCGUGGCAAGACGGAAAGACCCCGUGAACCUUUACUAUAGCUUUACACUGAACGUUGAGUUCGUCUGUGUAGGAUAGGUGGGAGGCUAUGAAACUGUGGCGCUAGCUGCAGUGGAGCCAUCCUUGAAAUACCACCCUGUCGUGCUUGACGUUCUAACCUGGGCCCAUUAUCUGGGUCGGGGACCGUGUAUGGUGGGUAGUUUGACUGGGGCGGUCUCCUCCUAAAGAGUAACGGAGGAGCUCGAAGGUACGCUCAGCGCGGUCGGACAUCGCGCACUGUGUGCAAAGGCAUAAGCGUGCUUGACUGCAAGAUCGACGGAUCAAGCAGGUAGGAAACUAGGACUUAGUGAUCCGGUGGUUCUGUAUGGAAGGGCCAUCGCUCAACGGAUAAAAGGUACUCCGGGGAUAACAGGCUGAUACCGCCCAAGAGUUCAUAUCGACGGCGGUGUUUGGCACCUCGAUGUCGGCUCAUCACAUCCUGGGGCUGUAGUCGGUCCCAAGGGUAUGGCUGUUCGCCAUUUAAAGUGGUACGCGAGCUGGGUUCAGAACGUCGUGAGACAGUUCGGUCCCUAUCUGCCAUGGGCGUUGGAGAUUUGAGAGGGGCUGCUCCUAGUACGAGAGGACCGGAGUGGACGAACCUCUGGUGUUCCGGUUGUCACGCCAGUGGCAUUGCCGGGUAGCUAUGUUCGGAAGCGAUAACCGCUGAAAGCAUCUAAGCGGGAAGCGCGCCUCAAGAUGAGAUCUCCCGGGGCACAAGCCCCCUGAAGGAACCAUGUAGACUACGUGGUUGAUAGGUCAGGUGUGUAAGUACAGCAAUGUAUUGAGCUAACUGAUACUAAUGAUCCGAGAGGCUUGACCAUAUAACCU